AUAAAAUUAGUUAAUAGCAAAAAGAAAUUGCAAAAAAAAUAAAAUAAAAAGUAAAUGCCCUGCACUCCAUUCCCCAUAUGCUACCUGGAAGCAUCCCAAAAGCCCGCGAGUCCUGGGUUGCCACAUGGACCUUCACCUACGCACAGAAAGGAAAAUGACACAUUAACAGAAAUUCAAAAAAAUGAUAAAAUAAAUCACACGAGCAGGUUGUUAAAGGGAAUUAUUCUCUGACACAGGUUGUUGGUGGGGUAAUCUGUUAAGGAAUUGGCACCAAAUGCACUCUCAGACUCCCUAUAAAUAGGGAGUCCCAACACUGUAGACACACACCUCAAAUAGUAUAGAAACCCUGUCGAAAUUGAGAGAAGUAAAGAAAGAUUCAGAAGAGAGGGGAAGGUCUGCUAGAAAAGGGAGAGCACAUAAACAUUUUGUGAGAAUGGAGAGAAAGAAAAGAGUUAAGAUUGAUUUAGAGAGAGGAUUGUCUGAAAAACAGAGAGCAGUGGGGAAGGUUCUACCAAUUUAUAGAAGAAGCAGAAGGCAAAGCUUGGGAGCUGAUUUGGAAUACACUCAGACGCCCCCAGACAGGCACCGAAGCAGAGUUCAGGUCAACCAAUCCAAACAGAUUUAGAGAAGGGAAAAGCAAAGCAGGAGGAGAGAAGAAUGUGAAGGUGAUCCAACUAGGUGAGCAGAUCAAGCUUGCAGAUAGGGAAAUCUUUUGUAUUGCCCUAUUUUAAAGGGUAAGUGUGUUCAGGGGAAUGUAUUUUUAGGUAGAUGAAACUGGGGUGACAUAUAAAUAUGUAUGUAUGGUUUGGAAGCACUGAAUUCUGGUAUUGUAAAUAUGGAUGUAUGACUUUAUGUUUUCCAUUGCAUAGGUGUGUUGAAUUAUCUAUAGUGAAAUCUAGUGCCAUUUGGGUCCUG